UACGUAGGGAGCAAGCGUUGUCCGGAAUCAUUGGGCGUAAAGCGCGCGUAGGUGGCUUCGUAAGUCCGUUGUGAAAGUCAAAGGCUCAACCUUUGAAAGCCGAUGGAUACUGCGGAGCUAGAGUACGGAAGAGGCGAGUGGAAUUCCUGGUGUAGCGGUGGAAAUGCGCAGAUAUCAGGAGGAACACCAAUAGCGAAGGCAGCUCGCUGGGACGUUACUGACACUAAGGCGCGAAAGCGUGGGGAGCGAACAGG
rnacentral:rRNA from 1 species